rnacentral:rRNA from 1 species
UGGGGAAUAUUGCACAAUGGGCGCAAGCCUGAUGCAGCCAUGCCGCGUGUGUGAAGAAGGCCUUCGGGUUGUAAGCACUUUCAGCGAGGAGGAAGGGUUCAGUGUUAAUAGCACUGUUCAUUGACGUUACUCGCAGAAGAAGCACCGGCUAACUCCGUGCCAGCAGCCGCGGUAAUACGGAGGGUGCAAGCGUUAACCGGAAUUACUGGGCGUAAAGCGCACGCAGGCGGUCUGUUAAGUCAGAUGUGAAAUCCCCGGGCUCAACCUGGGAACUGCAUUUGAAACUGGCAGGCUUGAGUCUUGUAGAGGGGGGUAGAAUUCCAGGUGUAGCGGUGAAAUGCGUAGAGAUCUGGAGGAAUACCGGUGGCGAAGGCGGCCCCCUGGACAAAGACUGACGCUCAGGUGCGAAAGCGUGGGGAGCAAACA